AUUUUGCCAAUUCUUCUUCAGCAAGGAAACAAGAAAAUUGACACUGAGCUGCACGUUUUGAAAGAUCUGCUUGUCUUCCAUUCCAAGAUUCCCUACUGCAACACCCAUGCAAAGAACUUUCUUCAGCUGGAACUUAACCAUUGCUUUGGUCUCAUUCACCUUUGACUCAAGAGAUUCCUGAUGAGUCACCAGUGUAGGGAACUUCCCUGCCUUGUUAAGCCCCGGGCCUAGAAGACGUGGAAUCUGCUUGAUGAUGGCCUCAGAUGCAAGGAAAGCGUGAUACUUCUUCGCAAGUUUCUUGACCAGCUUCUUGUUCUUAUUCAUCUUCUUCAGCCCUUCAACAUCCAUGUAGUCCAGCCCAAUCUUCUCAGCCUCCUCAACAUGCUGAGCAUCUCCGAGCAUGCAGACCUUCAUCUUCGGGCGGGGAAUAUGCGGCAACUUCACAGAGCCACUGAAACGCUUGUCUUUCUGGGGGUCGUAGUUCUUCAGACCGAUCUGAAGCUCAACGGUUUCAGUAAAAUUCCGCUUCCUCUUAUCGGUGUCUUUAACCUUGGACUCGGCCACAACCUGGGCAAUCGCCUCCCUCAAGACAUCACUCUGAAGCUUGCUCAUGGCUUCAGAUCAGUGGAGGAGCCGACGGCGGCG
rnacentral:misc_RNA from 1 species